UACGAAGGGGGCUAGCGUUGUUCGGAUUUACUGGGCGUAAAGCGCACGUAGGCGGAUCGUUAAGUCAGGGGUGAAAUCCUGGAGCUCAACUCCAGAACUGCCUUUGAUACUGGAGAGCUUGAGUCCGGAAGAGGUGAGUGGAACUCCGAGUGUAGAGGUGAAAUUCGUAGAUAUUCGGAAGAACACCAGUGGCGAAGGCGGCUCACUGGUCCGGUACUGACGCUGAUGUGCGAAAGCGUGGGGAGCAAACAGG
rnacentral:rRNA from 1 species